UCUUGAACUCUUAGCUCAGGUGAUCUGCUCACCUUGACCUCUGAAAGUGCUGGGAUUAUAGGUGUGAGUCACUCCGCCCAGCCGGGUUUUGCUUCUUAAAUGGGUAAAGGUUGUGUUGCUACCUGUGGUAAUAGUAAGCUUGAAUAACUUCAGUUUCUUCAUCUAUGAAAAGGUCAUGAGAGAAUCUGUGUAGCAUGUCUGGCAUAUCUGUAGGUACUCAAAAGUUAAUUAGGCUACCAGGACAAGUUUUCUUGGUUUCCUCCUUCAUGGAGCCCAGCAUGGAGUAUUAGAUAUAGAGUUGAUACUCAUUGUAUACUCCUUGAAAUGUUAAAUUAGAAGAAUGCUUGUGAAUUCCUGGUUCACCUGUCUUAGGUAGGGCACCAUGUUACUUUCAAUAUAGGGUCCAUAGCAUAAAGUAGUCCUUUAGGUUUGGAGAGUGAGCAUUAAGGCAAAGGAGUAGCAUGAUGUACAUUCAGGCUUCAGACUUUUAGACCCUUUCAGGAAAUCGCUAUUUAGACUUCUGGGGGAAAUACCCCUAACAGAAGACUGGUAAGGUGUCUGUUUUUCCAAAGUCUUUCCCAUUAGAUUGGAGGAGUUGUAGUUAUUUCUCCCCGUAUUCAGUAAGGAUUACAUGCUUAGGUAGGGCUAAGUGCUGGGAUGCAGAGCAAAGUAAUACUUUAUCCCUGCUUAAAGAGCAUUCAGCUCAGGGGGAAGCAGCCAAAUUAAAAGACAUUUAUAUUGUAGGGUGGGAAGGGCUGUAAUAAAGACAAGUGCACACGCCACUAUGGUGCUGCAUAGGAGCUAUGCUAUUCCAAUUCGGGGAGGGAGUGGGGACUUGCAUGUGGCUCCUGAUGUAGUGGUAAAAACAUCCUGGGCUCCAGAGUGUGAUGUAGCUAAUGAAAGUUCACUUCUCAAAGUCUCUUUGCUUAGUAUUAAAUCAUAGCAUCUCUGAGCACGGCGGGGCUCCCUGUCUGGCUUACCGUGUGCAGGAAAUGUGUUCCUGUUCUCUUUGCUUGCUGUCUGUGUUCCAGCUCUUAGGGCAGCACCGUCCUCUGUGCAUGCAACAUUGCAUUUAUCACACUGCGAUCAUGAUGAUUGGGGUGGGAGUUCUUUCUCCCAUGAGAAUCCGACUUUCGUACAAGCAGGGAAUCUGACGCAUUACCUUUGAUUCCUUCUCCAGUCCUCACCACAGUACCUGGGAGAUAGUGGGCGCUCAGUAAGUGCGUGUAGAAUGAAUAACCAAUUGGUCUCAGCUUCCUCAUCAUGGAUUACAGCAAUGAAUUCAUUUUUUCAGAAUGCAAGUGAAAGAAGAUUGAAAAAUUAGAGCUUCUGGAUACUGAUUUUGAGGAGAGAUCUGCCAUUUGUUAGAUAGGUGUGCCAGGAGUGUUCACACUAUGGCAGUGUGGGCACUAGCCUUGGCUCUGAGACUCAGACUUAAUUGGAGGUACCCCUCUGUCACAGAAGAGUUAUUGGUCCCAGGCACAUACCUUCAUCGCUCUAAACUCCAGGUUUUUACUUUGAAAAACAGGCACGACACUACCUCCCAGACAGAGUGAGGACUCAGUGACCUCCAUCAAGAUGGUGCCUACUAGAGUCCAGCCUCCAGAGAGCUGGAGCAUUUAUUACCUCCUGGGUCUCCAGUGCCCAGAGCUGUGCCUGCUGUGCAGUAGACACACUGUUUUUGUUGAAUGAUGUGUGUGAAGGCUCUUCCUAGCGGUGUUAUUUGGAGAAUAAGGCAAAUGCGAAAUGUGUGGAGAAACGGGACAAGAGGCGUAGACAGGGACUAGGAUGAAGGGCUCACACAUUGCUAGGGAGAAUGCGUGUGUUUUAAGGUUCUAGAUCACAGUUGAAGGAUGUCAUGCAGGGGAAUGGCGCGGUCAGCUCUGUUUUAGACGGAUCGUUUGGGGGUACUUAACAGGGAGGUUGAAACAUUUUGUAUUAUGAGAGUUUCAGGAGAAAAACCCAGAAAAGGUCUCCUCCUCAGAAGACAGCCUUUAAGCCUCUUGCUUAUUGCAUGGAAGCUCCAUCUUCUAGCACUCAGGCGCAGCCUGAUCUUCCAGGGGAGUCCGUGGAGUCCAUGAGAAUGGCCACCAUUCUCGCUCAUUGCUGCUGAUAUUACAGUUUUGAGAGAAUAGCAGGAUCCUUGUUGUCUUCUAGAGACUUGAGUCUAUCACUAACAUAUUUUCAGUUCCUUUGCCUGUAGACCAUACCAGGAAUUAAUGAUUUGUCAGUUUGUAGUUCACAAUUUCAUAGUUCAUUUAAUUCAUUUUAAAGUUGUCAAUUUCUUUGUAAGUAACCUGUAAAAGACACCUUUCCAGAACAGGUUUGCCAUCUUUUUGAAAAAAAAAAAAAAUUCAGGAUAAACGUUCCUAAGUAUCUGGAUUUGGAUGCCAUAUUUGGAGAGGAAAUGUUGGUCCCAACUCACAUUACAUUUACAUAAAGAAAGCAGUAUUUCUUCUGAUUAAACCAAAUCCCAAUAUUCACAAUAGAUUUCAUACCACAGACUUUGCCUUGAAGCCUAACAUAUGCAGUAUGCAUGAAGUUAACCAGUUGCCCAGUGGAAGUUUGCAGUGUGUCUUGUUUAGUUUCUCAGAAUUCAGACUUCUUUUGAGUUGGCUGAGUCUCAUAAACUCAGGUACUUCUCUGCAAUGUGUUAUCUCUUAAUUAUUUUAUUUAACACCACUGUUCCAGAAUAUUAAUGAGCCAGUUUAUAUUGUUUAAUAUUCUCUAAAUUCUUUUUGAAAUCAAGCACUACCAAGAACGUCAUUCAUUCAAUUUAGUUCAAUAAGGAGUGAUAUUCUUAAGAGAUUUCAUUUUAGGAUGAGGUGUAUGUGUGU